rnacentral:miRNA from 1 species
CGCAUCCCCUAGGGCAUUGGUGG